ensembl:snoRNA
CUGCUGCCUUUGAUGAAGCUGGUGUUGAUAGGGACAGCUGAGAGUGCUAAGGAAUGCCCCCAUCUUUGGUGGAAGAAA